GUUCAUGAAGGGCGGAGGAUUCGUACGAUGUUCUUAUUUUCAUUCUGUGACUUAAGGAAAUCACGCUAUGUGAAGAAGUUUAGAGCCUCUAAAUCCUCUGCAGUUCAGCUGCUUCUCAUUCAAACAGUAGGUCAGUGAUUUGCCUUUGAUCUCACAGCUGUUUAGGAUGCAGUCAUUAACGAGACACACACACACACACAUUCUUGUACUUGUUGCUUUAUGAGGUCUACCUUGCAGUUCAGCUGCUUGUACACACAGUUAAUAUGUGUCUGCUUCGCCACCUAUCUCCACCCACAAACUUUGAGCUACAGAAACCAUUCUGGGCUUCUAAAAUUCAGCUCAUUGAAGAUAUU